rnacentral:rRNA from 1 species
UGGGGAAUAUUGCACAAUGGGGGAAACCCUGAUGCAGCGACGCCGCGUGAGCGAAGAAGGCCUUCGGGUCGUAAAGCUCUUUUAUAUGGGAAGAUAAUGACGGUACCAUAAGAAAAAGCCCCGGCUAACUACGUGCCAGCAGCCGCGGUAAUACGUAGGGGGCUAGCGUUGUCCGGAAUCACUGGGCGUAAAGGGUUCGCAGGCGACAAUGCAAGUCAGAUGUAAAAGGCAAAGGCUCAACCUUUGUAAGCAUCUGAAACUGUAUAGCUUGAGAAGUGUAGAGGCAAGUGGAAUUUUUAGUGUAGCGGUGAAAUGCGUAGAUAUUAAAAAGAAUACCGGUGGCGAAGGCGACUUGCUGGGCACAAUCUGACGCUGAGGAACGAAAGCGUGGGGAGCAAACAGG